UUAUGGCCAUAUCACAUUGAAACACCAGUUCUCAUAUGAUCACAUAAGUUAAGCAGCAUCAAGUCUGGUCAGUACCUAGAUGGGUGACUGCUUCGGCAUACCAGGUGCCGUAAG